rnacentral:rRNA from 1 species
GACGAACGCUGGCGGCGUGCUUAACACAUGCAAGUCGAACGAUGAAGCCGGAGCUUGCUCUGGUGAAUUAGUGGCGAACGGGUGAGUAACACGUGAGUAACCUGCCCUUGACUCUGGGAUAACUGCGGGAAACUGUAGCUAAUACCGGAUACGACCCUCGGAGGCAUCUCCUGGGGGUGGAAAGAAUUUCGGUCAAGGAUGGACUCGCGGCCUAUCAGCUAGUUGGUGAGGUAAAGGCUCACCAAGGCGACGACGGGUAGCCGGCCUGAGAGGGUGACCGGCCACACUGGGACUGGGACACGGCCCAGACUCCUACGGGGGGCAGCAGUGGGGAAUAUUGCACAAUGGGCGCAAGCCUGAUGCAGCAACGCCGCGUGAGGGAUGACGGCCUUCGGGUUGUAAACCUCUUUUAGUAGGGAAGAAGCGAAAGUGACGGUACCUGCAGAAAAAGCACCGGCUAACUACGUGCCAGCAGCCGCCAUAA